rnacentral:lncRNA from 1 species
CAGCGACCGCAUGGAGGAAGGGGCGGCAGGUGCGCGGCGCUGGAAGAACCGGCGGCUGGGAGAGCAUCUCUGCCUCGCCCAUCUUGCCCCCUCCCCACCUCCGCUCUGGCGUUGGGACGGGAGGAGGAGGGAGGAAUGGAACCAGGGAGUCCGAAGUACAGCUUUGACAACUGUCGCGCUGGCCGGGUUUUGUCACUCAUGCCAUCCCUAAUACCUCCUCCCGAC